rnacentral:rRNA from 1 species
AUACGGAGGAUCCGAGCGCUAUCCGGAUUUAUUGGGUUUAAAGGGUGCGCAGGCGGCCAUUUAAGUCAGCGGUUAAAUCGUGGGGCUCAACCCCAUUCUGCCGUUGAUACUGGGUGGCUUGAUUGCGGUCGAGGUUGGCGGAAUUCGUUGUGUAGCGGUGAAAUGCAUAGAUAUGACGAAGAACACCGAUUGCGUAGGCAGCUGACCAGACCGCAAAUGACGCUCAUGCACGAAAGUGCGGGGAUCGAACAGGAUUAGAUACCCUGGUAGUCCGCACAGUAAACGAUGAAUACUUGUUUUCGGCGAUAUAAUGUCGGAGGCAAAGCGAAAGCGAUAAGUAUUCCACCUGGGGAGUACGCCGGCAACGGUGGAACUCAAAGGAAUUGGCGGGG